UACGUAGGUGGCAAGCGUUGUCCGGAUUUACUGGGCGUAAAGAGCGCGCAGGCGGUCGUUCAAGUCGCGUGUGAAAGCCCACGGCUCAACUGGGGAGGGUCACGCGAUACUGAUCGACUCGAAGGCAGGAGAGGGAAGUGGAAUUCCCGGUGUAGUGGUGAAAUGCGUAGAUAUCGGGAGGAACACCAGUGGCGAAGGCGACUUCCUGGCCUGUUCUUGACGCUGAGGCGCGAAAGCUAGGGGAGCAAACGGG
rnacentral:rRNA from 1 species